rnacentral:rRNA from 1 species
ACGCUAGCUACAGGCUUAACACAUGCAAGUCGAGGGGCAGCAUGGUCUUAGCUUGCUAAGGCCGAUGGCGACCGGCGCACGGGUGAGUAACACGUAUCCAACCUGCCGUCUACUCUUGGACAGCCUUCUGAAAGGAAGAUUAAUACAAGAUGGCAUCAUGAGUCCGCAUGUUCACAUGAUUAAAGGUAUUCCGGUAGACGAUGGGGAUGCGUUCCAUUAGAUAGUAGGCGGGGUAACGGCCCACCUAGUCUUCGAUGGAUAGGGGUUCUGAGAGGAAGGUCCCCCACAUUGGAACUGAGACACGGUCCAAACUCCUACGGGAGGCAGCAGUGAGGAAUAUUGGUCAAUGGGCGAGAGCCUGAACCAGCCAAGUAGCGUGAAGGAUGACUGCCCUAUGGGUUGUAAACUUCUUUUAUAAAGGAAUAAAGUCGGGUAUGGAUACCCGUUUGCAUGUACUUUAUGAAUAAGGAUCGGCUAACUCCGUGCCAGCAGCCGCGGUAAUACGGAGGAUCCGAGCGUUAUCCGGAUUUAUUGGGUUUAAAGGGAGCGUAGAUGGAUGUUUAAGUCAGUUGUGAAAGUUUGCGGGUCAACCGUAAAAUUGCAGUUGAUACUGGAUAUCUUGAGUGCAGUUGAGGCAGGCGGAAUUCGUGGUGUAGCGGGGAAAUGCUUAGAUAUCACGAAGAACUCCGAUUGCGAAGGCAGCCUGCUAAGCUGCAACUGACAUUGAGGCUCGAAAGUGUGGGGUAUCAAACAGGAUUAGAUACCCUGGUAGUCCACACGGUAAACGAUGAAUACUCGCUGUUUGCGAUAUACAGCAAGCGGCCAAGCGAAAGCGUUAAGUAUUCCACCUGGGGAGUACGCCGGCAACGGUGAAACUCAAAGGAAUUGACGGGGGCCCGCACAAGCGGAGGAACAUGUGGUUUAAUUCGAUGAUACGCGAGGAACCUUACCCGGGCUUAAAUUGCAGAUGAAUUACGGUGAAAGCCGUAAGCCGCAAGGCAUCUGUGAAGGUGCUGCAUGGUUGUCGUCAGCUCGUGCCGUGAGGUGUCGGCUUAAGUGCCAUAACGAGCGCAACCCUUGUUGUCAGUUACUAACAGGUUCUGCUGAGGACUCUGACAAGACUGCCAUCGUAAGAUGUGAGGAAGGUGGGGAUGACGUCAAAUCAGCACGGCCCUUACGUCCGGGGCUACACACGUGUUACAAUGGGGGGUACAGAGGGCCGCUACCACGCGAGUGGAUGCCAAUCCCCAAAACCUCUCUCAGUUCGGACUGGAGUCUGCAACCCGACUCCACGAAGCUGGAUUCGCUAGUAAUCGCGCAUCAGCCACGGCGCGGUGAAUACGUUCCCGGGCCUUGUACACACCGCCCGUCAAGCCAUGGGAGCCGGGGGUACCUGAAGUGCGUAACCGCGAGGAGCGCCCUAGGGUAAAACUGGUGA